AAGUAUGAACCCCUUCUCUUCCUCUUUUUGCUACCAACAACCAAUUGGUAAGAAGCAACCCCAUAUUUCUCACUCAUAAUUCCAAAUUGCUACCACCUGACAUAUUUCAUUCUUUUUGAAGAAAACUCUGUUAGCUUUGGGCAGUAUAUCAUCUUAUUAAUUCUACCUAUCUUUAAAGUUGUGAACCAGUUUUAUGACUAUACAUGUAUGUGAUGAUCAUCUAAACCAAAUGUAUAAGAAAAUUGAGCACGCCACUGAGCUCUUGUCUUAUGCCGGUGAAGUUUUUCAGUUUCAUACACUGAAUUUUUAUUCAUUCUUUUUGCUUGUUUUGUUUUUCUCAAACAAAUAUUUGUGUUAUGCAGCUGCCUUGGUUCCCAAUGGAUAUAUCACCAGUAAAUGAGAUGUGGAAUGUCUUGUACACUAUAUGGCUUGUUGUAAGUUUCAAUUACCAACUCCUUUUUGGUUAAUUUUCCAAUUGAAUGUAGUGUCUCGGACAUUAUAUGGUCCUAGAGCAAACUAAUUAAGUAUUGUUUUCUCUAUGGAAGAUGACAUAGGAAUUUUAUAUAACAUGCAGUUGAUUACUUGACUCGGGUUCUUCUUAUUGAUAACUCUUGCUCACUAUUGAUACCAAAAAAAUUGAAGCAGUUACUAAUUCAUGAUCUGGCAUGUAUAAAAUGAAAACUUCAUUCUCGGUUCUACGAGAACGUUUAUAAAAGCCUUUCAUUUGCUUCUCUUCUAUGAAAUUUGAUUUUCCCAUAAUGUAUCCUAAUUAAACUUGAUAUUUGCAGAAUCUUUGAAUCUAUGCUUAUUUUCAACUCCCUGAAGCAUAUCUUACGUCCUUUCUCAUCUUUGGUCCUGGUUUUAAUGUUCUGUUUUGUAAAUCAUUCUCUUUACGCUUCACCAGAAAUUGAAACUUUUCCAAAACCAGUAACUCCAGGAAAAAAUCAUGUCAAAGUCAUAAGAUUUUUGUGUUGAAAGACAUUUGUUUGUGAGCAACUAAUACUUUGAUCCUUUUGCAGUGACAUGAAAUGUAACAUGCACCAUAUUCCCAGCCUCUAGCCCAAAAACUCCGAACUAUGCGCCUGUCUCUCUCAAGUAUUCUAUAAUGAAACAUCACCCCUUGUCCAUCCUGUGCUUGCAGUUUGUGAGAAGAAAAACAAAUGCAUCAAAGGUAGUCUCUAUUUGUCAUGGCAUUGAAAGAGCACAAAGAUAGAUCGUAUUUCUAUCCUCUUACCACACACGAACACAAAGAUAAAAUCAUACAUGC
rnacentral:lncRNA from 1 species